GUUAUUAAUUUUGCUGAAGCACAUGGUGGAGGACUGUACACGUACAUGAUGACGCAUGCAUGCAAGGAAAGAGAAGGUAACCACUAACAAUUGAGUAAAAUAACUUCAUAAAUUAUUAGGAGUAUGAAACAGAGCCGGAAGAAGCGCUUUGACCAAGCCACGUGCUUGCAUAUAAAUGUGAACACGACAGUUGUUUAUUUAGUAUACUACUUACAGAUAAAAUUGUCAGGUUUUUUCAUGACCAGUACAUUCAUCAUUAUAGCUCCUUAUUUAAAACCAGAAUGAUUAUGUUUACCAAAGAGUAUGUUCUUAUAUUCACUCAAACUACCCAUAAUUCAUUGCAUCAUCAUAAUAAAGUGAAGUGAAAUGUCAUGUCAAAUCUGACCCGUGUCUGUCAGGUACCUUGCCAUUUAUUUUUUUAAUUACCAGUCUUGUGCUACUAUGAAGUGUAUUAAAGACGACGAAGGAACUUGCACAGCACGUAUUGAAGUGAUUAGUGCGAUACACACACACGAAGAAGAAUAUCCCAUAUACAGGAGGAGUACAACGAAGCUUGUAACAGUUUACAGACAAAGUGGGGCUUAUCUUGAGUGUACCUCUGGUAGAGGUCCAGUGCUGUGCUGAUCUUGAACUUCCUGAAAGUAGGUAUGCAGGGAACUUGGAAAGAGAAGCUGAAACAAAUAUUUUGGAACGGGCGUAGGAAAGAAUUAACGCUCAGACCACGAAGAAGAUACGCUUCCUAGAAAUUCUGAAAACACGUAGUACUGCUGCUAAAACAGAAAAUAAAGAUAUGCUGAAAAAGUAUGCUAUAAGAAGGUCCAAGGCGAUUACGAAAGGAUUUUAAACAUGAUUGUAGAUGAUGCCAAAAGGUGUACAUCAACCAUGCAAUCUAUUUUCAAGGUUUUUAACAAUUAUUAUGUAAUAAUUAUAUACGCUGCCAUAAGUUUCGUCUU